rnacentral:misc_RNA from 1 species
GGAAGUAAAAGGCGUAACAAGGUUUCCGUAGGUGAACCUGCGGAAGGAUCAUUAAUGUGUUUGGGCCUCACGGCUCUUCAUUCCGACGCUGUGCGCCUUCGGGCUGCACGCUGAGGGAGCAUAUAUCCACCCCUGUGCACACACACGGUGGCGAGCUGGGUAACGGCUCGCCGCUGAUCUUUACACACGUCUAAAAGUCAUUGUAUGUUUAUUUGAGAUAAAAACACAACUUUCAGCAACGGAUCUCUUGGCUCUC